rnacentral:rRNA from 1 species
AGUGAACGCUGGCGGUAGGCCUAACACAUGCAAGUCGAACGGCAGCACAGUAAGAGCUUGCUCUUACGGGUGGCGAGUGGCGGACGGGUGAGGAAUACAUCGGAAUCUACUUUUUCGUGGGGGAUAACGUAGGGAAACUUACGCUAAUACCGCAUACGAUCUACGGGUGAAAGCAGGGGAUCUUCGGACCUUGCGCGAUUGGAUGAGCCGAUGUCGGAUUAGCUAGUUGGCGGGGUAAAGGCCCACCAAGGCGACGAUCCGUAGCUGGUCUGAGAGGAUGAUCAGCCACACUGGAACUGAGACACGGUCCAGACUCCUACGGGAGGCAGCAGUGGGGAAUAUUGGACAAUGGGCGCAAGCCUGAUCCAGCCAUACCGCGUGGGUGAAGAAGGCCUUCGGGUUGUAAAGCCCUUUUGUUGGGAAAGAAAAGCAGCAGGUUAAUACCCCGCUGUUCUGACGGUACCCAAAGAAUAAGCACCGGCUAACUUCGUG